rnacentral:rRNA from 1 species
UCCCGCAACGAGCGCAACCCUCAUCUUUAGUUGCCAUCGGUUCGGCCGGGCACUCUAGAGAAACUGCCUGCGAUGAGCAGGAGGAAGGCGGGGAUGACGUCAAGUCCUCAUGGCCCUUAUGGACUGGGCUACACACGUGCUACAAUGGCGGUGACAACGGGCAGCGAAGGGGUGACCUGGAGCAAAUCCCAAAAAGCCGUCCCAGUUCGGAUUGUACUCUGCAACUCGAGUACAUGAAGUUGGAAUCGCUAGUAAUCGCGNNNNNNNNNCACACCGCCCGUCACACCAUGGGAGUUGGCUUUACCCGAAGCCGGUGCGCUAACCGCAAGGAAGCAGCCGACCACGGUAAGGUCAGCGACUGGGGUGAAGUCGUAACAAGGUAGCCGUAGGGGAACCUGCGGCUGGAUCACCUCCUUU